UCCGGGUGCCCCCUGGCAGCACCGCCCGCACCCCCCAUCCCUUGUGAGCGCCCCAUGGGUGCCCCUGGGGCAGGGGGCGGUGGGGAGAGGCCCCAGGGGCUGAGCAGAGCCGGGUGCUGUGCUGGCAGCAGGCGCGGGGCCGGUGGCUGCCCGCCCUGGCUGUGCCAGACGCGGCGCAGGAGCGCCUGGAAUGCGUUGCCGGGAGCGCUGGCUCCAGCCCCACGCUGGCUCCAGCCCCACGCGCUGCCUGGGGUGGAGGAGCCCAGCUCCUGCACCCGCGUGGGCAUGGGGAUGGAGCUCUCAGCCCUCGGGCAGGGGGGUCCUGAGCCCCCUGAGUGUGGGGAGCGUGGGUCCUGCAGCCGUGGGGCACAGGGCUGGUGGUCCCAAGCCUCCCGGUCUCGUGAACCUCAGGGUCCUGUAGCCCCAGGCUUUGGGUCCCACGAGUGCUGUAGCUCUGGGGGUCCUGAGGUCCCUGGGCACAGGGAUUUGGUGGUCCUGAGCCUUGCAAACCUGGCAGUCCUGCUGUCCCUGGUUGUGGGUGCGCAGGGUCCCAAAUCCCCUGGCAUAGGGAACCGGGUGGUGCCGAGCUCCCUGGGGACAGGGCCUGGGGGAGGCUCGGGGGAGGCUCGGGGUCUCUGUGGCUCCUUGGCUUGUGAGCCUGGGGGUCCUGAGCCUCCUGGGCUUGCACACUUGGGGUCUUGUAGUCCCUGGAUAGGGGUCCCAUGGGUCCUGCAGCUGUGGGGUGUGGGGCUGGGAGGCCCCAAGCCUCCUCAUCUUGUGAACCUGGGGGCUCCAAGUGCUUUGUGCUUGCAGGGUCCCAUAGGUGCUGCAGCUCCAGGGUGCAGGGCCGGGGUCCUGAGGACCCUGGGUUUGCAGACCCGGGGGUCCUGAGCCCCCAAAGAGCGGGUCCCACGGGUCCCACAGCUCUGGGGCGGGGGGCUGGGGGUCCCGACCCACUGGGUUCGCAGACCCGAGGGUGCCGAGGCGCGGGGGUCCCGGGGCUCUGCUCCCCUCUCCCCCCCCGGCCCGCAGAGGGGUCUCCCGGGGGCUCUGCCCCGCGCCCGCAGCCCCCGGGCCGCGCCCCGAGCGCAUGGCGUGGGGAGGAAAGGGCGAGGAGGGGCCGGCG
rnacentral:lncRNA from 1 species